GGACGGAGAGGGGACAGAGGGAAAGGGAGGCGGGUGUCUUCCUCAGGAAUUUGAGCUGGGGAUCUGCAUCCUGGCCAUUGCAGUCCUUUAGCAUCCUCGCCGCGCCCUGAGCGCGCUGGAGGCUUGCAGGCUGCGCCCUCCCAGGGCUGAUGCCGCGUCCUGCUCCGCCGUUCUGGGACGUCGGGGACAAAAGUGGAGGAGACGGGAGAGCCCGGGCAGAAAAAGCAGGACGCGCGUCCCAGCUGCCGUGAAGAUGCCAAACCCACCAAGACUGCGCUGCCCCACCUCUCCGAGGCUGCCCUGGGAGUGCGGGUGACCCGCGAGCUCCAGAAUCUUUCCUUAAGGUGGAGCCACAGCGCCACCUCGCGAUCCUCCAGCUUCCCUCCCUCAUGGCCACGGAAGGCUGGCCCUUUCUGGUCCAAGCCCUCAGGGUCCCACACUUACUG
rnacentral:lncRNA from 1 species